rnacentral:rRNA from 1 species
UACGAAGGGGGCUAGCGUUGCUCGGAAUGACUGGGCGUAAAGGGCGCGUAGGCGGUUUGUACAGUCAGAUGUGAAAUUCCUGGGCUCAACCUGGGGGCUGCAUUUGAUACGUGCGGACUUGAGUGAGGAAGAGGGUCGUGGAAUUCCCAGUGUAGAGGUGAAAUUCGUAGAUAUUGGGAAGAACACCGGUGGCGAAGGCGGCGACCUGGUCCUUGACUGACGCUGAGGCGCGAAAGCGUGGGGAGCAAACAGG